rnacentral:rRNA from 1 species
ACCUGCGGAGGGAUCAUUACCGAGUUAUUCAACUCAUCAACCCUGUGAACAUACCUAAACGUUGCUUCGGCGGGAAUAGACGGCCCCGUGAAACGGGCCGCCCCCGCCAGAGGACCCUUAACUCUGUUUCUAUAAUGUUUCUUCUGAGUAAAACAAGCAAAUAAAUUAAAACUUUCAACAACGGAUCUCUUGGCUCUGGCAUCGAUGAAGAACGCAGCGAAAUGCGAUAAGUAAUGUGAAUUGCAGAAUUCAGUGAAUCAUCGAAUCUUUGAACGCACAUUGCGCCCGCCAGUAUUCUGGCGGGCAUGCCUGUUCGAGCGUCAUUACAACCCUCAGGCCCCCGGGCCUGGCGUUGGGGAUCGGCGGAGCCUCUCUGUGGGCACACGCCGUCCCCCAAAUACAGUGGCGGUCCCGCCGCAGCUUCCAUCGCGUAGUAGCUAACACCUCGCGACUGGAGAGCGGCGCGGCCACGCCGUAAAACACCCAACUCUUCUGAAGUUGACCUCGAAUCAGGUAGGAAUACCCGCUGAACUUAAGCAUAUCAAUAAGCGGAGGAA